UACGUAGGGUGCGAGCGUUGUCCGGAAUUAUUGGGCGUAAAGAGCUCGUAGGCGGUUUGUCGCGUCUGCUGUGAAAACUCGGGGCUUAACUCCGGGCCUGCAGUGGGUACGGGCAGACUAGAGUGCGGUAGGGGAGACUGGAAUUCCUGGUGUAGCGGUGAAAUGCGCAGAUAUCAGGAGGAACACCGAUGGCGAAGGCAGGGUCUCUGGGCCACUACUGACGCUGAGAAGCGAAAGCAUGGGGAGCGAACAGG
rnacentral:rRNA from 1 species